CUCUAGGUUCCCCUCAACAGGUUGCUCCCUGUCCAGGAUCCUUAUUCAGCUUGGAUGUGGAGUUGAGACAGGGCUGCCUACAGCAGUGAGUUGGGAGCCCCAGAGGUGGGGACUAUUAAUCACUCGGAGGUGGCUUCAAGGUAAAACCAAUUUGUCAUCUUCAGCCUAGAGUAUCCAGGAAGUGAAUUGAAGAAGUUGAGUUUUAUCACAGGCUGCUAACUCAACAAAGCAGGAAAAUAAUGGGAUAAUUUCUGUGCCUCAGGUUUCUUCCAACUGUGCUAGGGAGAGAUGGCUAUUGGGCUUUUAUUUUAAGCCUGGAGAGGGUGGAUUCUUAUCUCUAAAUUGUUCUAUGAGCCAUCUGAAUAACCAGCCUCUACCCCCCCAUGAUUGGAUUAGUUUGCAUAUUUGAAUUUAUUUGUUAGGGUGGCUCUGAACACCAAAUCAGUUGUGCUGGAUCAGCAGUAGGACAUGGAAACGCUAUUCAGUCCUUAAAGUGCCAGGCUGAUGGAGGCUCUGCUGUCCUCAACAAGUGGCUUCCAAGAUCGAUCAUCCUCGGUGCUCACAUCCAGACAGAUGGAGGUGAAAGACACUGGAGAAUUGCUCAGGAACUUUGGUCAGAUCAUUGGUCAGAAGUCACAUUGGCCAGAACCUAGUCACAUGGGUUUACUUACUGAAAAAGAGGCUGGGAAAUAGAGCCUAGCUUGCCCAAGUUGAGAGGGAACUAGGUCUGGUGAACAGCUGGCCAGAAGGGAAACCAGAGUCGGUGGUGCUUGGGCCAAAGUUACCUAAUUUUGUAAAUCCUGAAAUAUUCCCAUAUUGGACAAUUAAAUGCAUUCAAUAGGAUAAUUUUCAAUUUUAAAUAGUAAAAAAAGAAGAAAAUACGACCAAUGAGUACUUUAGAACUUUCUACACCAUUUUAAUUUGAUCUCUUGUAAUGUUUUUGGAGUUCUUUUUAUUUCUGAUUUUAGAAAUGUGUAUCUGGCUCACUUUAUGACUUGUUCAUUAGUUGCUUGUCUCCCCAACUGUUUCCUUGAACUCCAAGGGAAACCUUUAUGAAUUUAUCCCUGGCCUUCUCCAUUUUCUGAAAUGAAGACUAUAAGGAUGAAUUAAAAUUUAUGGCCUCUGAACAAAAAUGUUUGCCUGGGUCCUUCCCCUGGUCAUUAAAGUGCAGUUUCUGGGAUCAGACCCCAGCACUGCCCCUCCAGUGGUAGAUUCUACACUAGUGCACCAACCUCCUCAUGCCUUUUUCAUCCCAAUCGAUGCAUGAAAAUACUAAUACCAAUCUCACCAGACUGUGGUGAGAUGCAGGGUAGCAGUGUCUGAUGCACAGUAAGCAUGAAAAUAGUCUGUGUCAUUGCUGUCACUGUUGACUCCAAAGUCAAUGAGCCACCCACUGGAGCUCAGCUGUGCUCGGGCUGUGUGGAUAAGAAGGCACAUUUAAGCUCAGAACAAAGAUGUGGUCAGGGGGUGCUUUCCCACUGGCUCACCUUGGAAGUGUCUCUUUAGGUUCUCUCUUGAAACAAACCUUGUGUGUUCUUAAGCCCUCACCACACUGUGACUCAGUUUCCCCACUGAUAAAAGGGGGUACAACGGUUCUAAACUUGUUUGUAAAACAUGUUGAAAGCCUCUAAAUAAAGGUGGUAUUUA